UGGAGACCAAUUCUAAACGGAUCUUCACGGGGUUUUACUCGAAGUAAUAGACUCAACCUUGAUCAAAUCUUCACAAUUCACUUUGUCGUGUAGAAAAGAAAACCGGGAAAGUGACUGUCAUGUUCUACAAUAAACAGGAUCCAUGGA